ACACCCAAAGAUUACAAUGUAUUAUUGGUCACAUCCUUCUGUCAAAGUUAUUGAUCAGCGAUCCUAAUACAAAGUUACAAACUGUAUAUUUUUUUAUAGAAUCGAUGUUUCAUUCAAAGAGUAAAUUAAUAUGUUUCAUUGUUAAAAAUUGAAAUCGUUUUCGUUAGGUAAAGAGCUCUCUAAAAAUGCAGUACCAAGAAAAGAGGGUGUUACCACAUGAGCGAGAGAUACACAGCUUCAAGAGGAUCAGGUUUCAGAUGUGGGAGAGAUUGCCCAAGAUAAAUGGAAUAUUUAGAAUGUCUCCGGAGAAAAUAGGCACGUUUCUAAAACAAAACAAUAUUGAUGAAGUAAAAAAAAAAACUUUGUAGUUUACUACCCUAAAAAUUAUAUUAUUUUAAUCUUA